CCCAGUGCGAUGGCCUCUCAUUCCGACAGAAAGAUAAAAGGAAGACAAGUCGAGAGGGAAAAACAAACACUUCACAAUGUGGAAUUUAUUUUAUUUCAUCGUAUACAUAUGGUGUAUUGACUGUUAAAUGUCCCCUAAAACGUUUGAAAAGAAAAUGAAGAAAGCAAUGGUUAAGGUUGCGAAAGCUGGAAAGGCAAAAUUAAAGAGAAAAUCAAUAACGAUGAAAGAGAAACUAGAUAUUAUCAUGCGUAUGGAGCGCGGUGACAAGCAGAAGGACAUUACAGCAGCCACUGGUCUAGCAGGGUCUACAAUUUAUACCAUCUUAAAAAACAAGGAAAAAAUUCAGCAAAGUGCUGAAAACGUUAUCGGUGGUACAAAGCUGACAAAAGUUUCUCGCUCACGUCAUGCUGUUUUGGAGAGGAUGGAAGUACUACUGCUUCACUGGAUCGAAAACCAGAACGAGAAGAACAUCCCCUUAUCGACAAUGUCAAUCCAGCAUAUGGCACUGCUGCUGUUCGAGGGCCUCAAGAAGAAAAUGUUGGAGGAGGGAGAUGAGACGGUGAAAGCAGUUGAAUUUGGGGCCAGUAAGGGGUGGUUUGAUCGAUUUCGUCGAAGAGGUUUACUUCACACCCUGAAGCUGUCAGGCCAAGUCACAUCUGCAGAUGGAGAGUCGGCAGCCACGUUUCCCAAGGAAUUGCAAAAUGUGAUUUUAGAAGGGAGCUAUGACCCCAGGCAGGUUUUCAACAUGGACGAGACUGGUCUAUUUUGGAAACGGAUGCCAUCUAGAAUGUUAGCAUCUCAAGAGGGAAGGAAAGUGUCAGGCCAUGAAACUUCCAAAGAUAGGCUGACCUUACUUCUGGGUGGUAACCUAAAGGGUGAUGUGAAGCUGAAGCCGCUCUUGGUGUACCAUGCAGAGAAUCCUAGGGCUCUGAAAGGAGUGAUCAAGUCAAGCCUUCCUGUUGUAUGGAGAUCAAACCGUAAAACCUGGGUCACACAAGAGGUGUUUAUUGACUACAUAAGGAGUUACUUUUCACCUUUUGUGGAGCAAUAUUGCAAAGAGAACAGUUUGCCUAAUAAGGCUCUCCUCAUAAUUGAUGAUGCCCCAGGCCACACUGCAGAUGUUCGCUAUGCCGACAACGUUGAAGUCCUACUCCUGCCUCCUAAUACAACUUCUUUGCUUCAGCCCAUGGACCAAGGGGUAAAAGCAACAUUCAAGGCAUAUUAUCUCCAGCUUCUAAUGAAACAUUUGGUCAAUGAAGCAGAAAAGGAUUCAUCUUUGAAGGACGUAUGGAGACAAUUUGACAUCAAGAUGGCACUUUGCUUCAUGGCUGAGGCAUGGCAAGGCAUCAAGCCUGAAACAAUGAAUGCAGCCUGGUCCAAACUUUGUCCCCAUUUUGUGCACGGCUUCAAAGGCUUCAGUCAAGAUGACAUUCAAAACCAGAUUCGUCAAAGGAUUGUGCAUUUGGCAGGAGAGGCGGGAUUUACAGAAGUGGAUGAGGCUGAUGUUGAAAAUGUCUUGACUUCCCAUACUGAAGAGCUGUGUAGUGAAGAACUUAUUCAGUUGGAGGAGGCAAGUAAGUCUGAGCAGGCAGAAGAUAUAGAAGACCCAACAACAGUGAAAGAAAUGGAUUUUGACAUGCUUCAUGAAAUUUUUGCUGCAGAAAAACACUUGCAUGAACUGAUUGCAAAUUACGAUGAUAAUACGGAUAGAAGUAUUCGUGUACGAAACGCAUUAAAAGAAGCUACAGUUCCAUAUAGAGCUUUGUAUGACAGUAAAAAGCAAAGUGUUCAACAACCUUCAGUGCAGCGAUUCUGCAAAUCACAAACAAAAGAAGAGAGAGCAGAUAUUGAAAAACAAGAAGAAAGCACAAGCAAGAGAAGGAAAACUUUGAGUGUCAAAGAAGAGGGAGCAGAAUCGUAUUCUUCUGCACCUUCGACUUCCAGCGGUAUUACAAGACGGACAAAACAGCCUCGAUUGCUCAUUAUUUACGAAUCAGAUUCAGACCCCGAUGACCGUAAAGUUGUAUAUCCUGCUGAAGAAAACCCUGAAGAUUUAGACAGCAUUGAGCUGCCUGCUGUUCAGGGUUUGCCUUUGGAACGCCCACAAUAAAAUGCCAGUAAAUCCCAAUCUGCUGCACUUCACCUUCACCUACACUGCUGCUUCAAAAAAGUGACUGUGUACUGCAUGAAUGAGGCUGAGCUUGUGGAGACUGCGCUCCGUGUUCUCACAGAAGGCAACCAUGGGGAC